rnacentral:rRNA from 1 species
AUGCACGCUGCCAGACUGCUUCACCCCUUCCAGUCUUUGGCGAAGCUGUGCUUGCACAGCCUAUCCACGGCGGACGGGUGAGUAACGCGUACGGAACUUGCCCUGCAGUCAGGGAUAACAGACGGAAACGACUGAUAAGACCUGGUAAAGUCAGGCGGACUCAUGUCCAGCCUGAUGAAAAGAGAUGCUGCAGGAGAGCCUUGCGUCCUAUCAGCUUGUUGGUGGGGUAACUGCCCACCAAGGCGAUGAUAGGUAGCCGGCCUGAGAGGGUGGACGGCCACAAGGGGACUGAGAUACGGCCGUUACUCCUACGGGAGGCAGCAGUGGGGAAUAGUGGACAAGGGGGGCAACCCUGAUCCAGCAAUUCUGUGUGCACGAAGAAGGUUUUCGGAGUGUAAAGUGCUUUCAGAAGGGAAGAAAAAAAUGACGGUACCUGCAGAAGAAGCGACGGCUAAAUACGUG